AGCGAACGCUGGCGGCAGGCCUAACACAUGCAAGUCGAACGAACCUUUCGGGGUUAGUGGCGGACGGGUGAGUAACACGUGGGAACGUGCCUUUAGGUUCGGAAUAACUCAGGGAAACGGGUGCUAAUACCGAAUGUGGCCUUCGGGGGAAAGAUUUAUCGCCUUUGGAGCGGCCCGCGUCUGAUUAGCUAGUUGGUUGAGGUAAUGGCUCACCAAGGCGACGAUCAGUAGCUGGUCUGAGAGGAUGAUCAGCCACAUUGGGACUGAGACACGGCCCAAACUCCUACGGGAGGCAGCAGUGGGGAAUCUUGCGCAAUGGGCGAAAGCCUGACGCAGCCAUGCCGCGUGAAUGAUGAAGGUCUUAGGGUUGUAAAAUUCUUUCACCGGGGACGAUAAUGACGGUACCCGGAGAAGAAGCCCCGGCUAACUUCGUG
rnacentral:rRNA from 1 species